rnacentral:lncRNA from 1 species
UCGGAUUCCUCGUGCCUCUCGGUGUAUAAAACUAGAGCCCCGUUUCCUCCCCUACCCUCCAUCCAACCCGAGAGCGUCUACGUCGAGCACAUGGAGAAGAAAGAGUGGUAGAAGGUUCCGCCGGCAAGGAUCUUGCCCAUGUUGCCGCUCGGGAUUCAAUUAGGGACCUGGAGGGUUUCGUCCUGGUGUGGGGUCGACGCACCUUGCUUCGCUGGGUGAGAAUUUGGGAUGAAGGUCCGAACAAUUGAUCGUCGGAGGCCGAUUCCGCCGCUGGACCGCAUCCCAUCGUGGCCGGUCCUCACCACCACUUAAUCACUGGUAUGAUCACGUUUCCAUAAUUCGCCAUCGACCCCUCUUCUUGUAGCAUCCGUCCAAUCGCGAUUUGGGGCACGGGCGUGCUGAUUCAUCGUGCUGCGGCGAGCUCACCGGUGGUGCUCCGGUUGCCUUCUCCCUGUCGCAACCGGGAGGUGGGAGACGAUCCAUUGGCCGUUGAUCCCCUAGCAAGCGGUUAGGAUUAGAUAAUGGGAGGACCGUUGAUCCGGGGAUGUGAGGUGGAGAAUCAAUCUGGCGUAGCCCUUCGCGCGUGCAGAUCCGGGUCGUGGAUCUGUGAUCUGAUUGGCUAGAGCGGUUAAAGCUGGUGAGAGUGUCUUCUGGCCGUUGAUUGCGGAUCCAUCGGCUCUGGUAGCAUACCGGUUGGAUUCAACGGCAGAUCUAAUCUAGAGCGUUGGUUUUUAAUCGUGCGACUGGGGCGCAUCCAUACCCCUUCGAUCCCGUACAUUUGUAUAAGAGCCCCUUGGCUUCAAGAUAAUAAACCCACCAUCCAUCCCUGUGUAGUAGAAUUACAAAUGAAUCCCAGAAACUUACAAAGCAGCCCUGUGCUAUUAAGGAAUUGUGUCCCCAGUCCAGAAUUAUUAGGGGUAUUCAUAAUUAAAUCAGAAAAUGAAUUUUAAUAUAAAAAUAAAUCCAGAAAAUUAUUUAAUUCAUAGAAAAUCUAUUCUAACUCCGAAUUGAACCAUUCUAGUGGCAUUAAUUUUGUUUUAAUAUUGUUCAUCACCUAGUACCUCUGUUUAGCCAUGAAACUUAGAUUAAAAAUUAUACACCUAGUUUCUUUUCAUCUACCACUUAAAAUUUCGGAAAAUCAUAAUUAAUUCAUUUUAACCCUGUUUUAAUCUGUUCAAAUUGCAUUAGCUUCAUAAUAAAAUUGCUCAGGCAUUAGUGACACUGUUUUGUCAUGUUCUUAAAAUAAUUAAAUACAUAUACUUAUAGGGUUAACUAUCCUAGCCCAAUGAAAAGAGGUAUUUUAAUUUGGUUCCUCUAAAAUUGACUAAAGUAUGAUCUUUAAGUAGAUUAUAAAUUAGAGUAAAAGUUGAGUAGUCAUAUCUUUAAUAUCCUUACUCAUAUAGUUUACAUAAUCAACAUAGAAUAUAGUUUUACAUACUUAAUCUUCAAUAUCUUCAAUAAAUCAUAACUCCUUAACCGUAGCUCCGAAUUUAAUGGUUCUCGAACCCACGAUCUCGUAGCGACGCGUAGAUUAUUAUUACGUAGUUUAUUCUUAUGUUUGGUGUGAUGUUAAUUUUACCUAUACCAUUUUUGUCUAUAUUGCUACGAUUAGCGCGAGGUCACGAGUCAUCUGAAGAGCAAGUUGGUACCUGGAAUCUCAAGUCCCAGGCAAGUUGUGCCCUUAAUCACUUCUUUUUACCCAGUCAUGUUCUGAUUAAUGAUAAUGAUCUGCAUAGGUUAAUUUUGAUGGGAUCCAAUAGGUUACCCUAGUUUGACUAUCUUUAUACCUUGUUUACCACUGAAGUUUUGGGUAGUACCUGCUAUUGCUUUAUGUGGUUUUGGGUAUAGAGAUACACAUUAUUCAUGAUUAUACUUUUAUUAUCAGUUGUUAUUUACUAUUCAUGUUAAGAUCAUUAUGUUAAUUGGAACAUGGAGCGACCACCCAGGAAAACAGUGCUACCACAAGGGUGGUAUGGGAUGCCCUUGGCUGACUAAUUAGGAAAGCUAAUGGAGGACUACCUUACCCGAAAUGGGCAAGGACAGUAGGGGAGUGGUCAGUGUAGGGAGGCCCUUGGGUUUAUUUUGUUGCGAUGGCGGUCGGGCGAGGAGUCCCUGCAAUGGAGCUUCCUAUAAACUGUAGCGGGUUUUCUGAAGCUAGUGGAACUUUGUAAAGGCCUCGUAGUGUUACCCUGCCUCGCCUCCUCAGUAGAGUUGUAUGGGAUUGGCCUUCUCUUGGCAUAUGGGUAACAUGACUUGUGGGUAAAGAUGUGCAACCUCUGCAGAGUGUAAAGCUGGUAUAUCAGCCGUGCUCACGGUCAUGAGCAGCUCGGACCGUCACAUGAUUAAUUUAUGGAACUAAAUUCAAUUUGUCAUAUACAUUGCAUUGCGAGUGUUGUUAUUACUUUUGUUCUACUACUUAAUUGGGUUGGUAUUUACUUAUACUUAGUAAUUGCUAAUAAAAUUUUGACCAAAUUUAAAAGCAAUGCUUAGCUUCAACCAUCCUCAUUGGUAAGCCUUACACUUCACAUGAGCUCCCACCUUUGGUGAGUUCAUGCACAUUAUUCCCCACAACUUGUUGAGCGAUGAACGUAUGUGAGCUCACUCUUGCUGUCUCACACCCCCCAUAGGUUAAGAACAGGUACAACAUGAUGAGACGCAUGGAGGAUGCUGUGAUGAGUACGUGAGUGGUCUAGGGCAUCGUCUCCCAGUCAACUUUGGGUUGCUGGAUCGUUGUCUCCUUAUGAUGUAAUUAUUUAUUUAUUUUGUACAAAACUCCUAUUAUAUAGUAAAGAUGUGACAUUCGUUUCUGUACCACUAUUCAUCAUAUGUGUG